UAGGGAUAUCUCCUUUCCAACAAAAAAAGAAUUAUCAAAAUCGGUACAUCCAGUAGAAAGUUAUGCGGUAUAAUACAACGUAUGUCGACGAAAAAAGCGUCAAGUAAAAACGCAUUAUUAGAUAUAACUCGAAAAGUAGUUGUUAGAUCUCAAAUAAAUUUAAAUGGGACCAAUUGGCACACACCACCUUUUGAUUAAAACAAAAUUUGUCGAAAUCGGUCUACCCGGUCAAAAGUUCUGAUGUAACAUACAUAAAAAAAAAUAAAAAAAUACAGUCGAAUUGAGAACCUCCUUUUUUGGAAGUCGGUUAAAAAGAAGUUUACCAUUUAUUACACAAUUCACAAAAAGAAAUGUACAACAGGCGGUCUUAUCGCUAAAUAGCGAUCUCUUGCUUGGAGGAGAUAAUGUGAAAAAAGUGGAAAAGGUGUACAGAAUUAAAAUGGAAGAAAACAGGAAGAAAACCAAAUAUACAUACAUACAUGCAUACAAACAUAGACAUAUUAUAAACUAUAUUAACUAUACAAAAAUUAUUACAUAACGUAUUACAUAAUAAGAUGUAAAUACACUACGAAUAUAAAUACAUACAAACAUAUACACACCCACACCCACAUACAUACAUACAUACAUACAUACAUACAUACAUACAUACAUACAUAGAUACAUACAUAGAUACAUACAUAGAUACAUACAUACAUACAUACAUACAUACAUACAUACAUACAUACAUACAUACAUACAUACAUACAUACAUACAUACAUACAUACAUACAUACAUACACACGCUUCAGCCUGUAAUAUCCCACUAC
rnacentral:misc_RNA from 1 species